GAUGAAGAACGUAGCGAAAUGCGAUAAGUAAUGUGAAUUGCAGAAUUCAGUGAAUCAUCGAAUCUUUGAACGCACAUUGCGCCCGCCAGUAUUCUGGCGGGCAUGCCUGUCCGAGCGUCAUUUCAACCCUCAAGCCCCCGGGCUUGGUGUUGGAGAUCGGCGAGCCCCCCGGGGCGCGCCGUCUCCCAAAUAUAGUGGCGGUCCCGCUGUAGCUUCCUCUGCGUAGUAGCACACCUCGCACUGGGAAACAGCGUGGCCACGCCGUAAAACCCCCCACUUCUGAAGGGUUGACCUCGGAUCAGGUAGGAAUACCCGCUGAACUUAAGCAUAUCAAUAAGCGGAGGA
rnacentral:misc_RNA from 1 species